rnacentral:tRNA from 2 species
AGGGGAGUAGCUCCAAUCGGCAGAGCGGCUGAUUCCAAAUCAGUAGGUUGGGGGUUCGAAUCCCUCCUCCCCUG